UAGGGAAUCUUCGGCAAUGGGGGGAACCCUGACCGAGCAACGCCGCGUGAGUGAAGAAGGUUUUCGGAUCGUAAAGCUCUGUUGUAAGUCAAGAACGGGUGUGAGAGUGGAAAGUUCACACUGUGACGGUAGCUUACCAGAAAGGGACGGCUAACUACGUGCCAGCAGCCGCGGUAAUACGUAGGUCCCGAGCGUUGUCCGGAUUUAUUGGGCGUAAAGCGAGCGCAGGCGGUUUGAUAAGUCUGAAGUUAAAGGCUGUGGCUCAACCAUAGUUCGCUUUGGAAACUGUCAAACUUGAGUGCAGAAGGGGAGAGUGGAAUUCCAUGUGUAGCGGUGAAAUGCGUAGAUAUAUGGAGGAACACCGGUGGCGAAAGCGGCUCUCUGGUCUGUAACUGACGCUGAGGCUCGAAAGCGUGGGGAGCGAACAGGAUUAGAUACCCUGGUAGUCCACGCCGUAAACGAUGAGUGCUAGGUGUUGGAUCCUUUCCGGGAUUCAGUGCCGAAGCUAACGCAUUAAGCACUCCGCCUGGGGAGUACGACCGCAAGGUUGAAAC
rnacentral:rRNA from 1 species